UACGAAGGGGGCUAGCGUUGCUCGGAAUUACUGGGCGUAAAGGGCGCGUAGGCGGCACUGUUAGUCAGGCGUGAAAUUCCUGGGCUCAACCUGGGGACUGCGCUUGAUACGGCAGAGCUUGAGGAUGGAAGAGGGUCGUGGAAUUCCCAGUGUAGAGGUGAAAUUCGUAGAUAUUGGGAAGAACACCGGUGGCGAAGGCGGCAUCCUGGACCGAUACUGACGCUGAGGAGCGAAAGCGUGGGGAGCAAACAGG
rnacentral:rRNA from 1 species